rnacentral:rRNA from 1 species
GACGAACGCUGGCGGCGUGCUUAACACAUGCAAGUCGAACGGAAAGGCCCUGCUUUUGUGGGGUGCUCGAGUGGCGAACGGGUGAGUAACACGUGAGUAACCUGCCCUUGACUUUGGGAUAACUUCAGGAAACUGGGGCUAAUACCGGAUAGGAGCUCCUGCUGCAUGGUGGGGGUUGGAAAGUUUCGGCGGUUGGGGAUGGACUCGCGGCUUAUCAGCUUGUUGGUGGGGUAGUGGCUUACCAAGGCUUUGACGGGUAGCCGGCCUGAGAGGGUGACCGGCCACAUUGGGACUGGAAUGCGGCCCAGACUCCUACGGGAGGCAGCAGUGGGGUAUAUUGCACAAUGGGCGGAAGCCUGAUGCAGCAACGCCGCGUGCGGGAUGACGGCCUUCGGGUUGUAAUCCGCUUUCGCCUGUGACGAAGCGUGAGUGACGGUAAUGGGUAAAGAAGCACCGGCUAACUACGUG